GAUGAACGCUGGCGGCGUGCCUAAUACAUGCAAGUCGAGCGGUAAGGUUCUCACUCUGUACUCAAACUAUUUUGAGUGUGGUGUGAGAAUACACGAGCGGCGGACGGCUGAGUAACGCGUAGGAAUGUACCCCGAAGUGAGGGAUAAGCACCAGAAAUGGUGUCUAAUACCGCAUGUGCUCCAUGGAACAAAGCAGCAAUGCGCUUUGGGAACAGCCUGCGUCCGAUUAGCUAGUUGGUAGUGUAAUGGACUACCAAGGCGAUGAUCGGUAGCUGGUCUGAGCGGAUGGUCGGCCGGACUGGGACUGAGAACGGCCCAGACUCCUACGGGAGGCAGCAGUAGGGAAUUUUCCGCAAUGGACGAAAGUCUGACGGAGCAACGCCGCGUGAGUGAUGAAGGUUUUCGGAUCGUAAAGCUCUGUUGCCAGGGAAGAACGCUUGGGAGAGUAACUGCUCCCAAGGUGACGGUACCUGAGAAGAAAGCCCCGGCUAACUACGUGCCAGCCGCCGCAGUAA
rnacentral:rRNA from 1 species